GAUGAACGCUAGCGGCAGGCUUAAUACAUGCAAGUCGAGGGGUCAGCAAUGACACCGGCGGACGGGUGCGUAACGCGUAUGCAACCUACCUACAUCAGGGGGAUAGCCCUAGGAAACUGGGAUUAACACCGCAUAAUAUUAUUAAUGGCAUCAUUGAUAAUUGAAAUAUUUAUAGGAAGUAGAUGGGCAUGCGUAAGAUUAGCUAGUUGGUAAGGUAACGGCUUACCAAGGCUACGAUCUUUAGGGGCUCUGAGAGGAGUAUCCCCCACACUGGCACUGAGAUACGGGCCAGACUCCUACGGGAGGCAGCAGUAGGGAAUAUUGGGCAAUGGAGGCAACUCUGACCCAGCCCAUGCCGCGUGCAGGAAGACGGCCCUCUGGGUUGUAAACUGCUUUUGAAUGGGAAGAAUGUGUGGCUUGCGAGCUAUAAUGACGGUACCAUUAGAAUAAGCCACGGCUAACUACGUGCCAGCAGCCGACGGUAAAA
rnacentral:rRNA from 1 species